AUCCAGAUGACGGUCCCAAAUAGGACGAAAUGCGCACCCUGGAU
rnacentral:hammerhead_ribozyme from 1 species